rnacentral:sRNA from 1 species
GAGCUCGAGGAGGUGGCGCGAUGGAGGGACUGGAAGAAAAAACAUGGACCCAUUUGCCAGAAGACUGCAACUAAAAAACGGAAGACUUUUGAUUCAAGCAGACAGAGAGCUGAAGGAACUGAUAUUCCAACAGUAAAACCUCUCAAACCGAGGCCAGAACCACCAAAGAAACCAUCUAAUUGGAGAAGGAAACAUGAAGAAUUCAUUGCUACCAUAAGAGCAGCUAAAGGCCUUGAUCAGGCCCUCAAAGAGGGUGGCAAACUUCCUCCUCCUCCUCCACCUUCUUAUGAUCCUGAUUAUAUUCAAUGUCCAUAUUGUCAGAGGAGAUUCAAUGAAAAUGCAGCUGAUAGACAUAUAAAUUUCUGUAAAGAACAGGCAGCACGUAUUAGUAAUAAAGGGAAAUUUUCUACAGAUACCAAAGGAAAACCAACUUCUCGGACACAGGUGUAUAAGCCACCCGCACUUAAAAAGUCAAAUUCUCCUGGAACUGCAUCAUCAGGAUCUUCACGAUUACCGCAGCCAAGUGGCGCUGGCAAAACUGUUGUA